GUUCUAACGUAGACCCGUAAUCCGGGUUGCGGACAGUGUCUGGUGGGUAGUUUGACUGGGGCGGUCUCCUCCUAAAGAGUAACGGAGGAGCACGAAGGUUAGCUAAUCCUGGUCGGACAUCAGGAGGUUAGUGCAAAGGCAUAAGCUAGCUUGACUGCGAGAGUGACGGCUCGAGCAGGUGCGAAAGCAGGUCUUAGUGAUCCGGUGGUUCUGAAUGGAAGGGCCAUCGCUCAACGGAUAAAAGGUACUCCGGGGAUAACAGGCUGAUACCGCCCAAGAGUUCAUAUCGACGGCGGUGUUUGGCACCUCGAUGUCGGCUCAUCACAUCCUGGGGCUGAAGUAGGUCCCAAGGGUAUGGCUGUUCGCCAUUUAAAGUGGUACGCGAGCUGGGUUUAGAACGUCGUGAGACAGUUCGGUCCCUAUCUGCCGUGGGCGCUGGAGAAUUGAGGGGGGCUGCUCCUAGUACGAGAGGACCGGAGUGGACGCAUCACUGGUGUUCGGGUUGUCAUGCCAAUGGCAUUGCCCGGUAGCUAAAUGCGGAAGAGAUAAGUGCUGAAAGCAUCUAAGCACGAAACUUGCC
rnacentral:rRNA from 1 species